GGAUACUGUUUACACCUGGCGACUUCUGGAUACCUGAACCAGGAGAACUGCAGUUCCUUUGUGGAGGGUUGUCCGGACAAGCCGUACAUUAGUGACGACAUUUAUCUGUAUACUCGAUGCCAACAGAUAGACAAGAUAAAACGUUGUUUUCUUGCUGAUCCAAAUUGUAUACAGAGCUCCUCGUUGAUUCCUACGACAACAUAUGAACAUAGUUCACCGAAUACGUUCCAUGUGUCGCCCAAUGUGUUCAACGCCUCAUCUUCCACUCAAUCCUUCCCUACACCGGACGAUGACACCAGGCUAUCCGGGAGUCUGUGGGCUGUUAUAGUACUUGUAGUGGUUGC